GAUGAACGCUGGCGGCGUGCCUAAUACAUGCAAGUCGAGCGAACAGAUAAGGAGCUUGCUCCUUUGACGUUAGCGGCGGACGGGUGAGUAACACGUGGGUAACCUACCUAUAAGACUGGGAUAACUUCGGGAAACCGGAGCUAAUACCGGAUAAUAUUUCGAACCGCAUGGUUCGAUAGUGAAAGAUGGUUUUGCUAUCACUUAUAGAUGGACCCGCGCCGUAUUAGCUAGUUGGUAAGGUAACGGCUUACCAAGGCGACGAUACGUAGCCGACCUGAGAGGGUGAUCGGCCACACUGGAACUGAGACACGGUCCAGACUCCUACGGGAGGCAGCAGUAGGGAAUCUUCCGCAAUGGGCGAAAGCCUGACGGAGCAACGCCGCGUGAGUGAUGAAGGUCUUCGGAUCGUAAAACUCUGUUAUUAGGGAAGAACAUACGUGUAAGUAACUGUGCACGUCUUGACGGUACCUAAUCAGAAAGCCACGGCUAACUACGUA
rnacentral:rRNA from 1 species